rnacentral:rRNA from 1 species
GACGAACGCUGGCGGCGUGCUUAACACAUGCAAGUCGAACGGCAAGGCCCUACUUUUGUGGUGUUCUCGAGUGGCGAACGGGUGAGUAACACGUGAGUAACCUGCCCUUGACUUUGGGAUAACUUCAGGAAACUGGGGCUACUACCGGAUAGGAGCCCCCGCUGCAUGGUGGGGGUUGGAACGUUUCGGCUGUUGGGGAUGGACUCGCGGCUUAUCAGCUUGUUGGUGGGGUAGUGGCUUACCAAGGCUUUGACGGGUAGCCGGCCUGAGAGGGUGACCGGCCACAUUGGGACUGAGAUACGGACCAGACUCCUACGGGAGGCAGCAGUGGGGAAUAUUGCACAAUGGGCGGAAGCCUGAUGCAGCAACGCCGCGUGCGGGAUGACGGCCUGCGGGGUGUAAACCGCAUUCGCCUGUGACGAAGCGGGAGUGACGGUAAUGAGUAAAGAAGCACCGGCUAACUACGUG